ensembl:lncRNA
UUCAUUAAUAAGAGUGAUGCUUUAACACUGGAAACGGUGCUGUGAAUUUAACUUAGCAAUUCCCUCUCAGAAGAUGGUUAGAGUAUGUACUCCUUUGAACUGACACCAAAGGGGUAAAUGCCAGCCUUUGCUCAGUGUUAAUUAUUAUUUAGGAAUGGAUUCAGAUGCAAUAGAUCGAGCUAUUGAAGAGGAGCUGGAAAAGAUGAGCCUGAAUCUCUCUGACUCUGACUCAGACGAUACUGAGCCUGAAGAGGAUUUCACUGAGUGUAAUGAAAAGCUGCAGAUUGACUUUCCUGACCCAGUGUUCACCUAUUUGGAAGCUUCACGUGGCAGAAUGAAAACCUUGGAACAUCUGAUCCUUGAAGAUUUUGAUGAAAAGGGUAAGGGAAAUGGAGAAUUGUGUUGCAUAACUGUAUUAUUUUUCUAUAAUACAUCAUUUGUUGUUUAUGUGCAGAUAGUUCAUGUAAUGAAACGUCUCAUCAAAUUGAUUUUGAGAAUCUUCUAAAUGAACAUGGCUGUAUUCCUAAAGAGGAUCUUAUGAACCUGAAGGAAAGGAUCCUUUCCGAGAUUGAGGAGCAUGUGACAGAUCCAGGUGACUCUAAUGGGUGUUCCUUGGAAAAUAUGAAGCCUACAGCGCAUGUGAAUAAUGAAACAAAAUUUGAUGCAUACAAGGAGACUGAAAAGCAGUUCAUUUUUGAAUGGAGAGCGAUGGAAGAGAGGCUGAGGAAAGAGGAAGAUCUGAGAUUAGCAGAGCAGGAGGCUGAGAGGGAGCACCAUCUGCACUCAGUGAAAGAGGAAGAGGAGAAGAAGAAGCACAGAUUUGAGGAGUUUGAGGAGGUUCUGAGGACGAUGAGCAGAAUGGGCUCAUAUGAACAAUGUGAAGAAGAUGGAGAUGAUUACUUAGAACAACUUCAACUUGAAGAGGUCAAACAGAAGGAACUGAUCAAGCAAUUAGAGGAGCAGCUAGAGGAGGAGAAGUGUGUAUUUGAGAAGACACAGCAGGAGGAAAGGAGAAGAAAAGAGAAGCGAAGUUGUGGGGCAGCAACCAAACUCCAGGCAGCUUUCAGAGGUGCUCUAGUGCGUCAAUGGAGCAAAAAAGAGCUGUCCAAGAGAAGAGAAGAAGCGAGGAGGAGACAGGAGCAGGAAAAAGAAAGAGAACUGAGGAGAGAGAAAGAGGAAAGGAUUAAGAAGGACUUGGAGGAGAAGAGAAGGAGAGCAGUGGAGGAGGAGAUGCGUCAGAAGGAAGAACAGGAGAAGCGAAGAGUUGAGUAUGAGAGAGCCAAGGAACAAGAGCGCCAUCGUCUGAAGAGAGAGCGCAAGCUAGAGGAACAGAAAAGACGAGAGGAAGAAGAAAAGAAGAUAGAGGAGGAAAGAAAACUAAAGGAAGAGGAAGAGAGGAGGAAAAUAAUAGAUGAGCAGAGGGAAGAGGAGGAAAAGAGAGCUGAUGAGAAGGAGAGGGAAAAAAAGGAGGAUGAGGAAAGAAGAAAAAAAAGUCAUGAGGAGAAAAUAGAAGAGGAUAAAAGAAGGGCUGAAAAGAAAGCGAGGAAGAGAAAGAAACAUGAGGAUAGAAAGAAAAGAAUGGAUGAGGAAUGGAAAGAAGAGGAAAAGAGGAGAGUUGAUGAGAAGGUAUGGAGUAGAAAGGAGGAAGAGAAGAAGAAAAAUACAGAAGAAAGCAUGCAGGUGCAGAAAGAAAGGAAAACAAUAAAUGAAGAUGGCAGCAAAAGCAAUGAGAUGGAGAUGAAGAUGAAAGAUGAAAGUAGAAAGGUGGAAGAGAGCACAGGGGAGGAAAUUAGGAACGUGGACAAGGAGGAAAGAAAAGAAGAGGAGGAUAUGAGAAGAAAAAUCCAUGAGCCAGAGAAUAAGAAUAAAAAACAACUUGAAAUCAAGCUCUUACAGGAAGGAAAGCAAAUAAAACUAGACAAAAAGAAGAGCAAUGAAGGAGAGGAGGAGACAAAGAUUAAAGAAGAAGGAGAGAAAGCUGGAAGGAUAGUUUUAACCCAUCCCAUCAGUUCACCAGUCACCACUGCCCCCAGCCACACUAGCACUUUCCCAGCAGCAACUUAUUUGGAUGGAGCAAGGCUCCAGUAUCAAAUUGAUGCUAAAAAAUAUAAACCAGACACUAAAGGACACCUUCGGGACCCUGCAGAUUCAAUGGAGAAGUGUCCCCAAGACUCAAGCUCCACAUGCCUGCCUGAGAGAACAGAGCUAAAGCGGCUGGCCUGGAUGAUGAACUGUGUUCCCUGGUCAAAGCUCUCCAUGCAGAAUAAGAGGAAAAGGGUCACAGCCUCAACCAAGAAGAGGGAGGCUAGAAGAGCCUCAAUGCCCAAUCUUCCACCUUUACCUGUGGACACUAUCCUCAGGUCUGGGUCCUGGAGCACUUUAAAACAGUGACCACAGUAACUCUGGAAGACUUACCUGGCUGCAGUCUCUCACCCCUGACCGAGUGUGCCAGUCUGCAGUCUCUAACGCUCAGGAAAUGUGGACUUAAAGCACUUGAAGCACUUAACCAUUGCAGUGGACUUAAGCACAUUGAUGUACAGGUUGGUUCCUGUUUUUUCAUUGGAUGCUUUAUUAGGGUUGCAUGAUAUUGGGAUAAAAAUCUCUUGCUUUAUUUGCUUUAUACACCCAUUUUCAAAAAAAAAAAAAUGUUGCACCUAGAAGGAAUCAACUGUCAGAAAAAGAAACUCAUAGUCUUGCCAGACUGUGACUCUAAUUAGCAGCAGGUAACUUUCAGUGAUAAAUCCUGCUUUUGUAUUGGUGCAGAAGACCAAAGAAUACUUGUGUGGAGGCAUCAUGGUUAGAGCCAAGUUGAAUGUUUUCAUAAGUUGCAUCAUCCUUAAAUCCAGGUGUUGUG